AACGGCGCGCGGCGAGCUGAGGGUGGCGGCGGUCGACAUGUUCCAGGGCCCGCACAGCGAGGGCGGCCGUGCCGGCUCCAGGGCCAUGAAGCCCCCAGGAGGAGAAUCGAGCAAUCUUUUUGGAAGUCCAGAAGAAGCUACUCCUUCCAGCAGGCCUAAUAGGAUGGCGUCUAAUAUUUUUGGACCAACAGAAGAACCUCAGAACAUACCCAAGAGGACAAAUCCCCCAGGAGGUAAAGGAAGUGGUAUCUUUGACGAAUCAACCCCCGUGCAGAGUCGACAGCACCUGAACCCACCUGGAGGGAAGACCAGUGACAUUUUUGGGUCUCCGGUCACUGCCACUUCACGCUUGGCACACCCAAACAAACCCAAGGUAUGGACUGCAUUCAGACGUGACAGCGCAGCAGCAGGUAUGCCAGGUGCUCUUUCUAAAAAGGCUCCAAGGCAGAUGCGACAUGUUUUUCGGGAGAAUCACGGUGGGUGCCGUGGAUUAUCCUGGAUGCAAGCAUUAGUCAUCGAGUUUGGAAGUUCCCCUGAGUCACCCAGGAAACAGUCCAGCCUUGUGCUGACUGAAGCCGUGGGGGCAGCUCUUCCUGUGCUGGUGGCGGACGCCCACUGCAGACAGGCUGUGGCGGCUCCUCACUGCAGCUCUGCGGAGCGCAGAGAAGAGGUGGGGAACGGAUCAUGCCGCAGAGGAGCUGGGCCCUUGUCCGUCUUCCACUCUUCCUGUUUCACCUUGGAAAGGAAAAGUGACAGUUCUUUUUUGAUGGGCUUUUCCCUGCACAGUCGAGGUCCUCGACUGGUUACCUGUGCAGAUUGUCAGCACUUGACUGAAGUGUAGCUGACGCCUCUGACCCA
rnacentral:sRNA from 1 species